rnacentral:tRNA from 1 species
GGGGAUUUAGUUCAGUGGUGCCACCACCUGCCUCCUAAGCACAAGGUCCUGAGUUCGAUCCUCAGUACCCCCC